rnacentral:rRNA from 1 species
CACGUAGGCACCAAGCGUUGUCCGGAAUUAUUGGGCGUAAAGCGCACGUAGGCGGCAUAGCAAGUCGGAUGUGAAAUCCCUCGGCUCAACCAAGGAAGUGCAUCCGAAACUGCUGUGCUUGAGUACGAAAGAGGAUCGCGGAAUUCCCGGUGUAGAGGUGAAAUUCGUAGAUAUCGGGAGGAACACCAGUGGCGAAGGCGGCGAUCUGGGUCGAUACUGACGCUGAGGUGCGAAAGCGUGGGGAGCAAACAGG